GAUGAACGCUGGCGGCGUGCCUAAUACAUGCAAGUCGAGCGAACAGACGAGGAGCUUGCUCCCCUGACGUUAGCGGCGGACGGGUGAGUAACACGUGGAUAACCUACCUAUAAGACUGGGAUAACUUCGGGAAACCGGAGCUAAUACCGGAUAAUAUAUUGAACCGCAUGGAUCAAUAGUGAAAGACGGUUUUGCUGUCACUUAUAGACGGAUCCGCGCCGCAUUAGCUAGUUGGUAAGGUAACGGCUUACCAAGGCAACGAUGCGUAGCCGACCUGAGAGGGUGAUCGGCCACACUGGAACUGAGACACGGUCCAGACUCCUACGGGAGGCAGCAGUGGGGAAUCUUCCGCAAUGGGCGAAAGCCUGACGGAGCAACGCCGCGUGAGUGAUGAAGGUCUUCGGAUCGUAAAGCUCUGUUAUUAGGGAAGAACAAAUGUGUAAGUAACUAUGCACGUCUUGACGGUACCUAAUCAGAAAGCCACGGCUAACUACGUG
rnacentral:rRNA from 1 species